rnacentral:lncRNA from 1 species
UUAAUCUUGGUAUUCAUAGUGCAUAUAUUCAAAGGCAUACCAAGUGCACAUUUUCAUAUCUAUGAUCGAUAAACAAUAAUGCCAUAGAUAAAAACUCUCAAUCAAGCAUAUAGAGAAUUCAUAGAGUUAUUCUUAGCAACUUAUCCAAUAGUGAGUAAAUCAUACUAUAAAAUGAAGUGAUUUGAUAAUAUUUUCAAAAGUAUUUUCUAUAUCACAAAAUUGAUCAAUACUUGCAAUUCAUAUUUUAAUCAAAUACUAAAGCAAAAGUAAUGAUGAGAUGCAAGGGUUACUGAUUUCAUUAUUAUUAUU